CGUGCUUACACAUGCAGUCGAACGAUGAAGCCAGCUUGCUGGUGGAUUAGUGGCGAACGGGUGAGUAACACGUGAGUAACCUGCCCUUGACUCUGGGAUAAGCCUGGGAAACCGGGUCUAAUACUGGAUAUGACUGCCGGCCGCAUGGUCUGGUGGUGGAAAGCUUUAUUGCGGUUUUGGAUGGACUCGCGGCCUAUCAGCUUGUUGGCGGGGUAAUGGCCCACCAAGGCGACGACGGGUAGCCGGCCUGAGAGGGUGACCGGCCACACUGGGACUGAGACACGGCCCAGACUCCUACGGGAGGCAGCAGUGGGGAAUAUUGCACAAUGGGCGCAAGCCUGAUGCAGCGACGCCGCGUGAGGGAUGAAGGCCUUCGGGUUGUAAACCUCUUUCAGUAGGGAAGAAGCGAAAGUGACGGUACCUGCAGAAGAAGCGCCGGCUAACUACGUGCCA
rnacentral:rRNA from 1 species